UUUUUGUCGAGCCUGCGACUUUUGUCGCAGAAAGCUCGACAUAGGGAUAGUGAUCCGGCGGCUACGGCGGCGGCGGCGGCGUUAGCUAACUUCUUAAAAGCUUUAUAUUUUAGAGGGUGGAAGAUCUGGAUGCUUCAUACUUUGUAUAUGGAUGCCUCAUGUUACGAAGUUUCCGUCAGUCACAUGUCCAAUGUCCUUGACCUCAUUUUCAUGGUUCAGUGACUACUUGAAAAAAAAGUUAAGAUUUUUUGUAAUGUUUAAUUCUCUCUUAUUAUAAGUAAUAGGAUAACUAUAUUUGGUAUGUGCGUACCUUGCAAGGUCCUCAUGCCCGUCAGACAGUUUUCACUUGACCUCGACCUCAUUUCAUGGAUCAGUGACCAAGGUAAAGUUUUGGUGGUCAAGUCCAUAUCUCAGAUACUAUAAGCAAUAGGUCUAGUAUAUUCGGUGUAUGGAAGGACUGUAAGGUGUACAUGUCCAACUGGCAGGUGUCAUCUGACCUUGACCUCAUUUUCAUGGUUCAGUGGUUAUAGUUAAGUUUUUGUGUUUUGGUCUGUUUUUCUUAUACUGUAUGCAAUAGGUCUACUAUAUUUGGUAUAUGGAAUGAUUGUAAGGUGUACAUGUCUAGCUGGCAGGUGUCAUCUGACCUUGACCUCAUUUUCAUGGUUCAGUGGUUAUAGUUAAGUUUUUGUGUUUUGGUCUGUUUUUCUUAUACUGUAUGCAAUAGGUCUACUAUAUUAGGUGUAUGGAAUGAUUGUAAGGUGUACAUGUCUAGCUGGCAGGUGUCAUCUGACCUUGACCUCAUUUUCAUGGUUCAGUGGUCAAAGUUAAGUUUUUGUGUUUUGGUCUGUUUUUCUUAUACUGUAUGCAAUAGUUCAACUAUAUUUGGUGUAUGGAAUGAUUGUAAGGUGUACAUGUCUAGCUGGUAGGUGUCAUCUGACCUUGACCUCAUUUUCAUGGUUCAGUGGUCAAAGUUAAGUUUUUGAGUUUUGGUCUUUUUUUCUAAUACUGUAUGCAAUAGGUCUACUAUAUUUGGUGUAUGGAAUGAUUGUAAGGUGUACAUGUCUAGCUGGCAGGUGUCAUCUGACCUUGACCUCAUUUUCAUGGUUCAGUGGUCAAAGUUAAGUUUUUGAGUUUUGGUCUUUUUUUCUAAUACUAUAUGCAAUAGUUCAACUAUAUUUGGUGUAUGGAAAUAAUUUAUGAUCUAUAUGUCAGUCAUGCAGGUUUUAUUUGACCUUGACCUCAUUUUCAAGGUUCAUUGCUCAGUGUUAAGUUUUUGUGUUUUUGUCUGUUUUUCUUAAACUAUGAGCAAUAGGUCAGCUAUAUUUGUUGUAUGGAAGAAUUGUUAGCUGUACAUGCCUGCCUAGCAUGGUUCAUCUGACCUUGACCUCAUUUUCAUGGUUCAUUGGUCAAUGUUUAGUUUACUUGGUUAAUGUUAAGUUUAUGUGACAGUUUUAAUAAAGCUUUAUAUUUAGGACUAUCAACAUAAUAUCAAUGAUUAGUAAAGAAGGCGAGACAUUUCAGCGUGUGCACUCUUGUUUUUAGAAGUUACUAUUUUAAUAAUGUUUAAUAAAGGUAAUUUAAUUAUAGCCAUGAUUAUGUAUGUGAAGGAAUUUUAUUUUUAGAUAUUACUAUUUAAUGUUGCUGAUGGAGGCUUUUUAAUUUUAGGCAUGAUUAUGAUGCCAUUUUCUAUUUUAAAAAUUAUUUAAUUUUAGCCAUGAUUAUGUAUGUGAAGGAAUUUUAUUUUUAGAUAUUACUAUUUGAUGUUGCUGAUGAAAGUGUUUUAAUUUUAGGCAUGAUUAUGAUGUCAUUUUCUAUUUUAAUACUUUUAUGAUGUAUUUAAAUGGGUUUUUAUGGUUGCAAAGUCCUAGCUGUCAAUUUAUUUUUAGAAGUUACUCUAAAUGCUGAUGAAGGAAUUUUAUUUUUAGAUAUUACUAUUAAAAGUAGCUGAUGAAGGGUUUUUAAUUUUAGCCAUGACUAUGAUGUCAUUUUCUUUUAUGAUGUAUUUAAAUGGGCUUUUAUGGUUAAAAAAAGCAUUUUUCUAGUUUCCAGACAGUAACUUGUGAUGAAGUGUAUGGAUCUCUCUAAAAUUGUACUACAAGGUUCCAUACUACAAAGGAAAGACUGCAAUUGAGUUUGAUGGUUAAUGCUAAAAGGGGGAUUCAAAAAGUUU